UUGUUAGCAGCUGCAGCGGCGGCAGCGGGAGCCCUCCCGGGUCCUGUUUUCUCGGAGAAUUCUGCAGCCCGCGACUCAAGGCAAUUCGGUUCCACCCGAAACCUCAGCUCCAAAUGCCUUGUUUUAGAAGCUGGGGCUUUGGAGGUUCUGAGGACCGUUCCUGGGGAGGCGGGUGACAGUCUGUGAGGUUUUCGCGGCCCCUCUGGUUCCUGCACAGUUACCGAGGGAGAGAGUGCUAGAAAUGGCUUUGCUGCCGAAUGCAUUAUCUUGCCAUUUUCGUAUCCCGAUACAGCACGCACGAUCGCCUGAUCGAUCGGAAAUAGGAGGGAAAGGUAGAGUGGAAAUUGAUUUCUUGCAGAGACUCAGGCGCCGAAUGAUAGAGGGAAUAAACAUUUGCCCUGGAUAAAAAAUGUUCUUGGCUGUGUUCCAGCCCUAAUAAGGACCUAGAGCAGAAGUUUUUCUUCAGUGAUCUAAUUUUACCCAAAAGCUCAUUUCUGUGUUAUGUCUCUGUUUUACGCAGGCUGACAAAUGUUGGUAGGGGGAUGGAUACCCCGAAUUAAAUUUGUUACAAACUCAACCUUAACAGUUGUGAUGUAUUAGACAGCAUAUUUUUC